rnacentral:rRNA from 1 species
AUGACUUGCUGCUGCUGUUUUCUCAACACUAGUGCUAAGUGUAUGCCAUUUAUGUUGCUCAUUGUUCAUGUACUCCUGUAUUUAAUUGUCCUUUUUAUCACUUCGUUGUUAUCCCAUUUUCGUAUGUCAAAAACAGUGAGCAAAGUAUUGACGUGCAGUUUGCUACUAUUCGGUUUUGGCUGGUACUCCCUCCGUCCGGAAAUACUUGUCGGAGAAAUGGAUGUAUCUAGACUUAUUUUAGUUUUAGAUACAUCCAAUUUUAUCCAUCUCUCCGACAAGUAUCUCGGGACGGAGGGAGUACAAGAGAAGAGGGAUGAUAUUAACAACGAGGUAUGCCAUUCCAUUCAUAUUUAUUCAAUUAAUUGGGAGUGA